rnacentral:lncRNA from 1 species
GAGACAGGCCUCAGCCCUCGUGAAGCUCGUUGGGCAGAAUUGUUGAAGGCAUUAACCCUUUCAUACCUGCUCCUUCUACCUGGGGAGGGGAACAAAAACCCCGUCAUCUAGCAUCCAUGGGGAUUGAGGGGGCAGUCUUACUUGUAAAGAUAUUAUGCUUUGGUGAGAAAGACGUCGAUGAAUGCAUAAAGGAUUCCUUUAUCUAAACAAAAGUUUUGAGAUUUUGUUGGUUUUCUUUUUGUUUUUAGAUUGAGUCAGAAGCGUUGUGAUGGACUGAUCAUCAGAGGGAGGGAAAUAACAGUCUCAACUGCUACGUUUAUUCGUCACAACUGAGCCAUGCAGUUAUACAUAUUGUAAUACAUACACAUUUAGCUGGAAUAUGUAUGUUGUACCCACCCUGUCACACGGUAUAUAUACAGCCAGACGUUACCCGCGUGCGUCUGUGAGUGUCGCUCAGUAAACCCGACCACGUGAUUUUUCUUAAAAAGGCGUUUUCGCAUGGGCACGAAUUAGCUAUAACUAGUACUACAACCACCACCACUACAUUAACUAUAACUAGUACUACGACAACCACCACUACAGCAACAACGAAUUGUGGACGUUCCACCGACCUCCCACCCACCUCGCCACCCCCCUAGCGACCCGCCGGCGGCAGCUGCAUGGUCAACACAGGAGAAACAUGUCCAGCAAGGCUGGAGCCACAUUCUCUCAUUGAUUUUCCCUUUUGGCCCGAAAGAGGUUUGGCGACAUUCCUUGAUCACUAGAGAACGACCUUCCGCACUCUCCUCUCAUCUUAAAGCAGUGCCAUGGGCGACAUGCCAGAGCUGACGAUUUAAGCCCCCUUUUUAUCAUUUUUAUUUUGUUUUGUUUCUUUGUUUUCCUUUUAUCGCAUGCAUUCUCCCUGGGCACUGCGGCUGACCGUUCGCAAAGCGACCGCAACAAUCAACAUUUACGUUUCUAGCGGCACGUAAUCCAAGCAGCACGAUGCUGGUGUGCAGGUGGCGCCACCUGUGGUCGAGUUGGAGAUUUUUCUUGUUACUUCUACAGUUUGUGGUCUGUCCCCACAUCUGCGGUCACCUCCGUUGACCUGCUCGGUGAAGAGUUGAUCCCAGGAAGAGGACUGACUCAGCUGCAGUGGAAGCCACCGUCCAGCAGAUGACUUGGUCAGACAUAGUGCGCAUGCGCAGAGAAAAAGGGGUGAGGGAGGAGUGAGAGGGAGGAAGGGAACUCUCUGCUGUCGGAGUCGACGCUUGCUGUGGUGUAGCAUUGGUCGCCAGCGCGCAAGCAGUGACAGCAAGGUACGGGUGGCGGGUAGUCUUGGCUGUAAGCGUGCGGUGAACACAAACCUGACAUUCCGCCACAGGUGUGGUGUCCGGCUACCUGUCCGAUACCUGGAUUCUGUCUUCGUUGCUUUCAUCCCAACCCGCAACAACUCACCCCUUGCUCCUCACCGAAGUCGUCUGCGAGACUCGCAUGUCCAUCCACCAUGACGGACUGCUGACGACAUUCACGUCCAACGACACAUCGACAGCAGCGGCGGUUGUGUUGAGCGUUGCUGUCGCCGCAGGCAGCUGAUCACCUCACCGGCUGCUGUUCCUGCGUCAGGAGACUGGUGGAGCAGACGUGUCUGAAGUCUGUUGACAAGCAACCAGCUGUGUGAUGGCGCUCCACCCGGGUUCCAGUGUCCGUAGGCUGUGGGACUCCCUGUCCCAUCCUUGCACCUGCGGCUGCUUCUUGUUCCUCAUGGCCGUCCUCCACCAAACACAGGUCGUAGCUCAGACAACGGCGGAUGUGUCGCCACAAGACAGCAAAGCAUCCCAGCAAGAAGAGAGAGAUAUGAUGAAAGGGUUGGCCGCUGGCUUUGGGUUCUUCUUCGGCAUUCUACUGUUAGUGUGCGUG